rnacentral:rRNA from 1 species
AGAGUUUGAUCCUGGCUCAGGACGAACGCUGGCGGCGUGCCUAAUACAUGCAAGUCGAGCGAGCCGAACCAAUUGAUUACCUUCGGGUAUGAAGUUAGGGAAGCGAGCGGCGGAUGGGUGAGUAACACGUGGGUAACCUACCCUAUAGUCUGGGAUACCACUUGGAAACAGGUGCUAAUACCGGAUAAAAGGAGAGAUCACAUGAUUUCUUUUUGAAAGGCGGCGUAAGCUGUCGCUAAAGGAUGGACCCGCGGUGCAUUAGCUAGUUGGUAAGGUAACGGCUUACCAAGGCAACGAUGCAUAGCCGAGUUGAGAGACUGAUCGGCCACAUUGGGACUGAGACACGGCCCAAACUCCUACGGGAGGCAGCAGUAGGGAAUCUUCCACAAUGGACGCAAGUCUGAUGGAGCAACGCCGCGUGAGUGAAGAAGGUUUUCGGAUCGUAAAGCUCUGUUGUUGGUGAAGAAAGAUAGUGAGAGUAACUGCUCAUUAUUUGCCGGUAAUCAACCAGAAAGUCACGGCUAACUACGUGCCAGCAGCCGCGGUAAUACGUAGGUGGCAAGCGUUGUCCGGAUUUAUUGGGCGUAAAGCGAGCGCAGGCGGAAAGAUAAGUCAGAUGUGAAAGCCCUCGGCUUAACCGAGGAAUAGCAUCGGAAACUGUCUUUCUUGAGUGCAGAAGAGGAGAGUGGAACUCCAUGUGUAGCGGUGGAAUGCGUAGAUAUAUGGAAGAACACCAGUGGCGAAGGCGGCUCUCUGGUCUGUAACUGACGCUGAGGCUCGAAAGCAUGGGUAGCGAACAGGAUUAGAUACCCUGGUAGUCCAUGCUGUAAACGAUGAGUGCUAAGUGUUGGGAGGUUUCCGCCUCUCAGUGCUGCAGCUAACGCAUUAAGCACUCCGCCUGGGGAGUACGACCGCAAGGUUAAAACUCAAAGGAAUUGACGGGGGCCCGCACAAGCGGUGGAGCAUGUGGUUUAAUU